rnacentral:sRNA from 12 species
UUUCAAGCUCGGUUGUCACGAUUGGAUGGUGGCAACGAACGGAAGGCAAACUCAUGAUUCAGAAGAACUGGCAGGAACUGAUCAAGCCGAACAAGGUGGAGUUCUCCUCGAGCUCGCGCACCAGGGCGACGCUUGUCGCCGAACCGCUGGA